GUAACAGCUCUUCUAUUUCUUAAAAGUAGUUUGCUAGGCAGAGAGUCCCUGUAUGGCAAUGAGGAAUUUGAUGUCUAAGAUCUGGUACUCUUAAGUACAUGGCAUUAUCAAUAGAGGUUCUCACUGGAGGCAGUUAAACUUCCUGUUGGGGCAUUCUUCAUAUCUGGAGACAUCUGGAUCAUCACAGCUCAGGGGGUGAGAGCUACUGGUCAAUCCUGUGUAGAAGACAGGGAAGUGACUGAACAUGCUAUGGUGAAUGGAGCAGGCCCUCCCAGUGACAAAGAAUGAUCUGACUUCAAGUGUUCAAAGUACCAAGGCUGGGAAACGCUGCCUUUUCAAAACAGGCUGAAAAGAUUUCCAUCUAUCGUGACAUGGCAGACAAAACAAAAUUUUUUACUCAGUCACUGAAAUGAAGUGAAGAUUUAAAAGACAGAAGAAGUUGAUAUACGCUAACAACACGGGUUAUUUGCAAUGUUUUGGAUAUAUAUUUACAAAGUGCAAAAUCAAAUAAAAAUGCUUGGU
rnacentral:lncRNA from 1 species